rnacentral:tRNA from 1 species
CUUCUUGUAGUGUAGUGGUUAGCACGUGGGAUUUUGACUGUCUUCAAAUAUUCCCGAGUCCCCGGUUCGAACCCGGGCAAGAAGU